AACGGUGAAGCCAAGCUUGCUUGGUGGAUCAGUGGCGAACGGGUGAGUAACACGUGAGCAACCUGCCCUGGACUCUGGGAUAAGCGCUGGAAACGGUGUCUAAUACUGGAUAUGAGCUCUCAUCGCAUGGUGGGGGUUGGAAAGAUUUUUCGGUCUGGGAUGGGCUCGCGGCCUAUCAGCUUGUUGGUGAGGUAAUGGCUCACCAAGGCGUCGACGGGUAGCCGGCCUGAGAGGGUGACCGGCCACACUGGGACUGAGACACGGCCCAGACUCCUACGGGAGGCAGCAGUGGGGAAUAUUGCACAAUGGGCGGAAGCCUGAUGCAGCAACGCCGCGUGAGGGAUGACGGCCUUCGGGUUGUAAACCUCUUUUAGCAGGGAAGAAGCGAGAGUGACGGUACCUGCAGAAAAAGCGCCGGCUAACUACGUGCCAGCAGCCGCGGUAAUACGUAGGGCGCAAGCGUUAUCCGGAAUUAUUGGGCGUAAAGAGCUCGUAGGCGGUUUGUCGCGUCUGCUGUGAAAUCCCGAGGCUCAACCUCGGGCCUGCAGUGGGUACGGGCAGACUAGAGUGCGGUAGGGGAGAUUGGAAUUCCUGGUGUAGCGGUGGAAUGCGCAGAUAUCAGGAGGAACACCGAUGGCGAAGGCAGAUCUCUGGGCCGUAACUGACGCUGAGGAGCGAAAGGGUGGGGAGCAAACAGGCUUAGAUACCCUGGUAGUCCACCCCGUAAACGUUGGGAACUAGUUGUGGGG
rnacentral:rRNA from 1 species